AUUGAACGCUGGCGGCAUGCUUUACACAUGCAAGUCGAACGGCAGCACGGGUGCUUGCACCUGGUGGCGAGUGGCGAACGGGUGAGUAAUGCAUCGGAACGUGCCCAUGAGUGGGGGAUAGCCCGGCGAAAGCCGGAUUAAUACCGCAUACGCCCUUAGGGGGAAAGCGGGGGAUCUUCGGACCUCGCGCUAUUGGAGCGGCCGAUGUCGGAUUAGCUAGUAGGUGAGGUAAAGGCUCACCUAGGCGACGAUCCGUAGCUGGUCUGAGAGGAUGAUCAGCCACACUGGGACUGAGACACGGCCCAGACUCCUACGGGAGGCAGCAGUCGAGAGGCUUCGGCAAUGGGGGAAACCCUGACCGAGCGACGCCGCGUGGGCGAUGAAGGUUGUAAGAUCGUAAAGCCCUGUCAGGAGGGAAGAACUGCCAAUGGGCAAACAGGCCAUUGGUUUGACGGUACCUCCAGAGGAAGCUCCGGCUAACUCCGUGCCAG
rnacentral:rRNA from 1 species